AUGCAGUCGAGCGGUAGCACAGGGAGCUUGCUCCUGGGUGACGAGCGGCGGACGGGUGAGUAAUGUCUGGGAAACUGCCUGAUGGAGGGGGAUAACUACUGGAAACGGUAGCUAAUACCGCAUAAUGUCGCAAGACCAAAGAGGGGGACCUUCGGGCCUCUUGCCAUCAGAUGUGCCCAGAUGGGAUUAGCUAGUAGGUGGGGUAAUGGCUCACCUAGGCGACGAUCCCUAGCUGGUCUGAGAGGAUGACCAGCCACACUGGAACUGAGACACGGUCCAGACUCCUACGGGAGGCAGCAGUGGGGAAUAUUGCACAAUGGGCGCAAGCCUGAUGCAGCCAUGCCGCGUGUAUGAAGAAGGCCUUCGGGUUGUAAAGUACUUUCAGCGAGGAGGAAGGCAUUAAGGUUAAUAACCUUGGUGAUUGACGUUACUCGCAGAAGAAGCACCGGCUAACUCCGUGCCAGCAGCCGCGGUAAUACGGAGGGUGCAAGCGUUAAUCGGAAUUACUGGGCGUAAAGCGCACGCAGGCGGUCUGUCAAGUCGGAUGUGAAAUCCCCGGGCUCAACCUGGGAACUGCAUUCGAAACUGGCAGGCUAGAGUUUUGUAGAGGGGGGGUAGAAUUCCAGGUGUAGCGGUGAA
rnacentral:rRNA from 1 species